GUGAAGAGUUAAAAGUUUGUAUGUUAACUUAUUUAGUUGAUUUGAUCAUAUUCCCUGGAUCAAAGGAUUUAUGCAAAUGUGUGUGGCCAGUCUCAUGAAAAAAUUUAAACCUUGAAAAUUUCGCUGGUAAUAAUAUGUAUGAAGAUGACUAUAUUAAUUCCAGUAGAUCAUCUACAUGAUUUUAAUUCUUCUCAUCAUCUUCCAAGAAGAAAUAGAAAGAUCUGGUUUAUGUGCUGCGGAACCUGACUUAUUUUUGUUCAAGGAAAGAUACUCGAUUACAGAUACAUUUUUAAAUAUUCUGCAUACUUUUAGGACUUU
rnacentral:lncRNA from 1 species